GACGAACGCUGGCGGCGUGCUUAACACAUGCAAGUCGAGCGAGGCCCUUCCUUCGGGAAGGUGCCCUAGCGGCGAACGGGUGAGUAACACGUGGGCAAUCUGCCCCUAGCACUGGGAUAACUCCGGGAAACCGGGGCUAAUACCGGAUAUGACCUCUGAGGGCAUCCUCUGGAGGUGGAAAGGAUUCUGGCUAGGGAUGAGCCCGCGGCCUAUCAGCUUGUUGGUGGGGUAAGGCCUACCAAGGCGACGACGGGUAGCCGGCCUGAGAGGGCGACCGGCCACACUGGGACUGAGACACGGCCCAGACUCCUACGGGAGGCAGCAGUGGGGAAUACUGCACAAUGGGCGAAAGCCUGAUGCAGCGACGCCGCGUGAGCGAUGAAGCCCUUCGGGGGUGUAAAGCUCUUUCGGCAGGAACGAUAAUAGACGGUACCUGAAGAAGAAGCUGCGGUUAAC
rnacentral:rRNA from 1 species